rnacentral:rRNA from 1 species
UGGCUCAUUAAAUCAGUUAUCGUUUAUUUGAUAGURCCUACUUACUUGGAUAACCGUGGUAAUUCUAGAGCUAAUACAUGCUAAAAACCUCGACUUCGGAAGGGGUGUAUUUAUUAGAUAAAAAACCAAUGCCCUCCGGGGCUCCCUGGUGAUUCAUAAUAACUAAACGAAUCGCAUGGCCUUGCGCCGGCGAUGGUUCAUUCAAAUUUCUGCCCUAUCAACUUUCGAUGGUAGGAUAGUGGCCUACCAUGGUGGCAACGGGUAACGGGGAAUUAGGGUUCUAUUCCGGAGAGGGAGCCUGAGAAACGGCUACCACAUCCAAGGAAGGCAGCAGGCGCGCAAAUUACCCAAUCCCGACACGGGGAGGUAGUGACAAUAAAUACUGAUGUGGAGCUCUUUAGGGUUUCACAAUUGGAAUGAGAAAAAUCUAAACCACUUAAACGAGGAACAAUUGGAGGGCAAGUCUGGUGCCAGCAGCCGCGGUAAUUCCAGCUCCAAUAGCGUAUAUUAAAGUUGUUGCAGUUAAAAAGCUCGUAGUUGAACCUUGGGCCUGGCCGGCUGGUCCGCCUCACCGCGUGCACUGGUUCGGCCGGGCCUUUCCUCCUGGGGAACCGCAUGCCCUUCACUGGGUGUGCCGGGGAAUCAGGACUUUUACUUUGAAAAAAUUAGAGUGUUCAAAGCAGGCAUUUGCUCGAAUACAUUAGCAUGGAAUAAUAGAAUAGGACGUUGUGGUUCUAUUUUGUUGGUUUCUAGGACCGCCGUAAUGAUUAAUAGGGGACGA